CUACGGGAGGCAGCAGUGGGGAAUAUUGCACAAUGGGCGCAAGCCUGAUGCAGCCAUGCCGCGUGUAUGAAGAAGGCCUUCGGGUUGUAAAGUACUUUCAGCGGGGAGGAAGGCGAUAAGGUUAAUAACCUUGUCGAUUGACGUUACCCGCAGAAGAAGCACCGG
rnacentral:rRNA from 1 species